GACCUGACUGCUAUCGGAUUGAUACUAAGCCAUGCGAGUCAUUGUAGCAAUACAAGGCAGACGGCUCAGUAACGCGUAGUCAACCUACCCUAUGGACGGGGAUAACCUCGGGAAACUGAGAAUAAUACCCGAUAGAACAUUAUACCUGGAAUGGUUUAUGUUUCAAAUAAUUUAUAGCCGUAGGAUGGGACUGCGGCCUAUCAGUUUGUUGGUGAGGUAAUGGCCCACCAAGACUAUUACAGGUACGGGCUCUGAGAGGAGUAGCCCGGAGAUGGGUACUGAGACACGGACCCAGGCCCUAUGGGGCGCAGCAGGCGAGAAAACUUUGCAAUGUGCGAAAGCACGACAAGGUUAAUCCGAGUGGUUUCUGCUAAAGGAACCUUUUGUCAGUCCUAGAAACACUGAUGAAUAAGGGGUGGGCAAGUUCUGGUGUCAGCCGCCGCGGUAAAACCAGCACCUCAAGUGGUCAGGAUGAUUAUUGGGCCUAAAGCAUCCGUAGCCUGCUUUGUUAGUUUUCGGUUAAAUUCAUACGCUUAACGUAUGGGCUGCCGGAAAUACUGCAAAGCUAGGGAGUGGGAGAGGUAGACGGUACUCGGUAGGAAGGGGUAAAAUCCUUUGAUCUAUUGAUGACCACCUGUGGCGAAGGCGGUCUACCAGAACACGUCCGACGGUGAGGGAUGAAAGCUGGGGGAGCAAACCGGAUUAGAUACCCGGGUAGUCCCAGCUGUAAACUAUGCAAACUCGGUGAUGCAUUGGCUUGAUGCCAAUGCAGUGCCGCAGGGAAGCCGUUAAGUUUGCCGCCUGGGAAGUACGUACGCAAGUAUGAAACUUAAAGGAAUUGGCGGGGGAGCACCACAAGGGGUGAAGCCUGCGGUUCAAUUGGAGUCAACGCCAGAAAUCUUACCCGGAGAAACAGCAGAAUGAAGGUCAAGCUGAAGACUUUACCAGACAAGCUGAGAGGUGGUGCAUGGCCGUCGCCAGCUCGUGCCGUGAGAUGUCCUGUUAAGUCAGGUAACGAGCGAGAUCCCUGCCUCUAGUUGCCACCAUUACUCUCAGGAGUAGUGGGGCGAAUUAGCGGGACCGCCGUAGUUAAUACGGAGGAAGGAAGGGGCCACGGCAGGUCAGUAUGCCCCGAAACUCUGGGGCCACACGCGGGCUGCAAUGGUAACGACAAUGUGUUCCGAAUCCGAAAGGAGGAGGUAUCCAG
rnacentral:rRNA from 1 species